CCCGCUGAACUUAAGCAUAUCAAUAAGCGGAGGAAAAGAAACCAACAGGGAUUGCCUCAGUAACUGCGAGUGAAGCGGCAAAAGCUCAAAUUUGAAAUCUGGUACCUUUGGGUGCCCGAGUUGUAAUUUGGAGAGGCAACUUCGGAGGAGGCGCUAGCCUAAGUUCCUUGGAACAGGACGUCACAGAGGGUGAGAAUCCCGUGCUUGGCUGGCUGUCCUCCUUCAUGUGAAGUGUCUUCGACGAGUCGAGUUGUUUGGGAAUGCAGCUCAAAAUGGGUGGUAAACUCCAUCUAAGGCUAAAUAUUGGCGAGAGACCGAUAGCGCACAAGUAGAGUGAUCGAAAGAUGAAAAGCACUUUGAAAAGAGAGUUAAACAGUACGUGAAAUUGUUGAAAGGGAAGCGCUUGAGACCAGACUCGGUGAUAGGUGAUCAGCGGUUGCUUUUGCUCCGUGCACUUGCCUUUUACCGGGCCAGCAUCAGUUGUGACGGUGGGAUAAAGACUCAGGGAAUGUGGCUCUCUUCGGGGAGUGUUAUAGCCCUGGGUGUAAUGCCGCCUGUUACGACUGAGGACCGCGCUUCGGCUAGGAUGCUGGCAUAAUGGUCUUCAGCGACCCGUCUUGAAACACGG
rnacentral:rRNA from 1 species